UAUACCUAAAAUGUACCAAUAAAAGAAUUUAAGGGGGGAAAAAAAAGAAAAACAGCUCUGACAGCAUCUUACCCUGGAACCUAGAUAUGGCCUAAAUAUCAAGUCAUAGUGCAUGAAUUGACCCUUCGUAGUGACACGCCUGUGACAUGAGAAAUGUUCCAGCUAUCUAGAUCAGUUUUCUAUCGCUGAUCAUUAGAUCUGUCAAAGCACCACUACACGGUGUGUUUGCUUAUUCUUUCUCAGAGUUACUUAGAAGGCUAACAUUUGCAUAGAUCAUUUCAUCCCUUUACUCAAGAAAUGAAUGUUGGGUCUUUAUUGUGCAAGACACUGAAUAGAUUUAUUAUGAAACUGAUGAUAUUCUAGCUCCAGGGCUCCUUACAGGGACAGGUCAUCUCCAAAUCCUCAUCCUAAUCUUACAGUCACAAUUUUGCAUUCAUUAUUUUCUCAAAGAAAACCACAAAUGAUAUAACCUUAAGUUCUAUAAAAUCUUGAAUAGCCUCUGAUAUCAGCACUGCAGAAAAUGCAUAAGAAUCUCACCGUCAGCUCGAUACUGGGGCAGCUCCAACUGAGAUGGGGUUGCAUGAGAACAAGCCCAGACCCCUGUGUCCUCUGAGUACCCGGAAUCCCCACUGCUGUGCUCCUCCUCUGAGUCAUGCCCUCUCUACUGCAAUGGUCAGGGUGUCCUGUAACCCUAGGGGCAUGGUCUGCCAUCCCCAGGAUGCCAUUCACCCCAAACUCCUGUGCCUGAGUGAGGGUCAGAUGAUGCCACUGUGACUUUUGCCCAGCCCAGGACAGAAAGGACUCUUUGCUUUGUUGAAUGUGGAUCACUGCUAUCAAGAGUGCUCUGAAUUUGAGCUGCAAGGUCAUAGGGGAGAAACAAAGAAGAGAUUGCUUAUUCCGUCGCUAAUUCUUCCUAACAGCUGCGCUUUACAUGCUCAGUCUGAGGAGGCACCGACAUACUCUUCACUUAACUAAUUCCUUCUGCACAUGAGGCAGGUGGUUGGCACAUGUGUGCUUUUGUACCUGUCUGGUUUGCUUCUUGCAUUUGCCCUUUAUUAGGCCACACACUCUUUCUGUUUGUUUGUUUGUUUUUUGCAAACAUGGAAGUUAGCAUUCAUUCUUGCAAAGACGGGGCCGCACCUCUGCUGUGUUAAAGACUGAAGGAAAUGACAGGCCCUGGCUCUCUUCUUGUGUAUCUUCUGUUGCUGUGAGCAUCAUCAGGCAACCUUGAUCUGUCUUCUUAUUAUGACUAAAGUAGCUGGAAUUUUAUGCUAUACAAUUUUAGGUGAGAAACACAGACUAUGUCCUAGAAUUCAGCCAGGCAUGAAUUUCUGGAAUCAAAUCACAUUGUGCUAAUUAUUGGUUUAUUGACAACUUCUCCAGCUAGGGCACUAUGCCAUCGGAGGGAGCGCUGAUCCCUACCCUCCUCCUAGAGCCCUGACCUUCUCUUUAUGGAAAGAACACAGCUGUGUGCAGGCGAGAUCCCCCACCACUGGGUGAGUGGGAACAGGUAGCAUUUUGCAAAUUACAUUUGUCACGUUCAACUAUCUUGCCUUGCCUUUUAUUAGGAAUCCCUAUGCUCUCAGUUUUUUCCUUUUGUCUCAACAAAGUAACACAGCAAAUAAAAUUUCUUUCCCCAAACCCUUGCUUAUAAAUAAUUAAUUAGUUUAUCUCCUUUUCUGCCCUCAAUUCUCCCUUUAAAAGUGGGGAGUGGAUUCCCUUUGUUCCUUUAGCUUAGGGAAGUUUCAAAGAUUUGGACUUUCUGGGGCUGUUUGCCUCUGAACUUCUGCCUGGCCACACAGCUCCUUUACCUGUCUACAUAGCUGGCCCAGGAAGCUACCUGAGCAGCAGCAGAGAGCCAGGUGCGCUGGGUCACACUUGUCCUCCAGAGGCACAAAUUGAGGGCUGCUCUUGGCUCACUCUUACCUGUACUGUGCCAGUACAGGCCUCGCUGGCCACAGCCCACCUCAUACUAGACGAGAGAGAAGGCUAGAUAGUGAGCAAGCUCUCUGAGUUUCCCUUUGCAUAUGCCCGUUAAUAAACCAUGUACUCUUGUUUGCAAACAUGAAAGCUAACAUUCAUUUUUGCAACACGUUCAUUUUGCAAGAGAGUUAUGUUUACUUGAAAGAAGAAUUCACAUAUUUAGAGACACCUGACUUGAUCUGGUGGGAAGUGCUGCAGCUACUGCAGGGGCAGCGCUGUACUGAAGAUGGAAGGAAAUGACUCAGAGGUGAGCAGCCGUUGCGUGAGCAUGGCCCAGGGCUGGUCACUCAGACACACUCUGUUUGUGGCUCACCCUCUGCACAGUUGCUUCUAAGAUUCCAAUGCAGCUGUGCGCGCGCGUGCACACACACACACACACACACACACACACACACACGCAUGCACGCCCCGAAACAAGAACACUCAACUUUUCAAGAUUUCCUCCAAGCAGGAGGCAGGGCUUGCUCAGCCCCCAGGGAAGGAGCCAAAAGACUUGCUUUUGUUAGCUCCCAGACCACUGGCAUGCGAAACCUGGGGAUUCACACUCUUUCCCCCCAAUGACGGCUGUCUGCACUGGUUAGAAGCAUAAGGAGAGGAAACCGAGGAAGCAGCACUUUCUGCAAAGUGGCCACAACGGACGGUGCAAGGGAGGGGUAGUCAGAGAGAGGGAGGGAUCUUUCGAAAUGCAUUUUCCUUUAAAACCAGACUCACAGACUUCCACUGCUGAUCUCUCUAAAACUCCCAAACUACUUCUGCAUUUAUUUAAUCCAGUGAAAACAUUUCUGUGAUAGGACCUCUGGAGACCUGGCUAAACACUGCCCCCAUCCAGUGUUUUGGUGCUGAUGUCCAAGACAAUCUCUGGGUCUCUCCCUCCAUGAUCAGUUUAUUAUAUGACAGCCAGGAAAGCAGACCAAUAAAACCCCAGGAAGGGAUGGGAAGAGCAGAGCCCGGCGAAGCGAAGCAGUGUUCGAGUGUCCCAAGAAAGUGAGUAGAGGGAGUUGGCUACCCCUGAAUCCCAAGAGACCUCUCCUGCGGGACACCUGACAUACUCAUCUCUUCAACCCUGCACCUUACCUUUGAGUUGCUGUCACAGAAACAGAAGGAAAUGAAGAGAAGCUAAAGAGGGAAGAAAGGAGCUCGCUGGGCAAGAUGGAUCUUUGGUUUUGUUUUGUGACAUCCUGGAGUUUUCUUUCUGCCCUUUCAAAGGUAAAAGCAGGAACUGUCUUGCCUAUGCCCAGACUACAAACACAUGUGAGUCCAGCCACAGACCAGAGCAGUAGGAGUUUCUGUAUCUGUGUUUGAGGACACAGAGCAACCUUCCCAACCCAUACCAUGUGGAUAAAAGACCUCUUCUGAGACCAAGUACAGAGCAGAAGUCUGUCGAUUACCAAGAGCCAAAGUCAUUAUUGUCGUCAUUAUUGUUUUCAUAAAGUCUGGGCUUUGCAGAGGUAAAAGAAGAAAGCUGGCCAGAAUUUCCUCACAACUUGAAAGCCAAGGAAAUCAUUAAUUUGGUUCCUUUAGGCAAGGAGUCCUAAUUGAUCAGGACUCAAAAUACACAGUCUGGAUUUUUUCAGUCAAUAAAAUAUGCAAGUAAUUAA